rnacentral:rRNA from 1 species
UUCGCAAUGCCCGAAAGGGUGACGAAGCGACGCCGCGUGUGGGAAGAAGGCCUUCGGGUUGUAAACCACUGUCGGGAGUUAGGAAAUGUAAGGGUGCUAAUAGUAUCCUUACUUGACUAAGGCUCCGGAGGAAGCCACGGCUAACUCUGUGCCAGCAGCCGCGGUAAUACAGAGGCGGCAAGCGUUGUUCGGAAUUAUUGGGCGUAAAGAGCACGUAGGCGGCCUUGUAAGUCAGUUGUGAAAGCCUUCUGCUUAACGGAAGAACAGCAGCUGAUACUGCAAGGCUAGAGUGCAGAAGGGGAGAGUGGAACUUCUGGUGGAGCGGUGAAAUGCGUAGAUAUCAGAAGGAACACCGGCGGCGAAGGCGACUCUCUGGUCCGUAACUGACGCUGAGUGUGCGAAAGCUAGGGGAGCAAACGGGAUUAGAUACCCCGGUAGUCCUAGCCGUAAAC